GAUGAACGCUAGCUACAGGCUUAACACAUGCAAGUCGAGGGGUAACGAGAGGGAAGCUUGCUUUCCUUGUCGACGACCGGCGCACGGGUGAGUAACGCGUAUCCAACCUGCCCCCAACUAAGGAAUAACCUUGCGAAAGUAAGACUAAUACCCUAUAAUUUCCUCAGAUGACAUCUGACGAGGAAUAAAGAUUUAUCGGUUGUGGAUGGGGAUGCGUCUGAUUAGCUUGUUGGCGGGGUAACGGCCCACCAAGGCAAGGAUCAGUAGGGGUUUUGGGAGGAAGGUACCCCACAUUGGAAAUGAGACACGGUCCAAACUCCUACGGGAGGCAGCAGUGAGGAAUAUUGGUCAAUGGGCGGAAGCCUGAACCAGCCAAGUAGCGUGCAGGAUGACGGCCCUAUGGGUUGUAAACUGCUUUUAUACAGGAAUAAAGUUAGCCACGUGUGGUUAUUUGUAGGUACUGUAUGAAUAAGGACCGGCUAAUUCCGUGCCAGCAGCCGCGGUAA
rnacentral:rRNA from 1 species